rnacentral:lncRNA from 10 species
UUUUUUAGACGGAGUUUCACUCUUCUUGCCCAGGCUGGAGUACAAUGGUACAAUCUUGGCUCACUGCAACCUCUGCCUCCCAAGUUCAAGCGAUUCUCCUGCUUCAGCAUCCGGAGUAGCUGUGAUUACAAACGUGCCACUAUACCCGGAGCUUAUGGUCUUUUCUUAACAUUUCUUGAUGACGAGGAUGGGAUUUGAAGUGGCACCCUUGCUUUUUCCCAACACUAUCUGGACCAAUGCAUUUGCACCUGCAAGAACCCCUUGAGCUCACUUAUCUUCCUGGCUGCACCAGGGAGAAAUGAGAGCUAUCCAUGCAAAGUCCAGACAUAAAAAAAUGCUUUCUCCACCCUAUUAAAGGGCUGCACCCUGAAAUCUGUA